AUUGAACGCUGGCGGCAGGCCUAACACAUGCAAGUCGAACGCGUGGCGGACGGGUGAGUAAUGUCUGGGAAACUGCCUGAUGGAGGGGGAUACCUCCUGGAAACGGUAGCUAAUACCGCAUACACUCGGAUGUGCCCAGAUGGGAGUGGCUAGUAGGUGGGGGAAAGGCUCCCCUGGGGGACGAUCCCUAGCUGGUCUGAGCGGAUGACCAGGCAAGCUGGAACGGAGGCAGGGUCCAGACUCCUACGGGAGGCAGCGGUGGGGAGUAUUGCGCAGUGGGCGCAAGCCUGAUGCAGCCAUGCCGCGUGUGUGGAGAAGGCCUUCGGGUGGUAAAGUGCUUGCAGCGGGGAGGCGUGACCCGCAGAAGAGGCCCCGGCUAACUCGGGGCCAGGAGCCGCGGUAAUAC
rnacentral:rRNA from 1 species